rnacentral:rRNA from 1 species
UACGUAGGGUGCAAGCGUUGUCCGGAAUUAUUGGGCGUAAAGAGCCUGUAGGCGGUUUGUCGCGUCUGCGUGUAGCGAAUUCGGGACUCAGCCCGACUUGCAGUGGGUAGGGCAGGACUAGAGUGUGGUAGGGGAGACUGGAAUUCCUGGUGUAGCGGUGAAAUGCGCAGAUAUCAGGAGGAACACCGAUGGCGAAGGCAGCUCUCGUGGACUGGAUACUGACGGCUGAGACGACG